rnacentral:rRNA from 1 species
GAAGGUGUAUCUAGAAAGACAAAUUAGAGCUUGAAAAAUAAAGCAUUUCAUUUACAUUGAAAAGUAUAUUGUGUAAUUCAAUUUAAUUUGAUAAUAAAAAUUUAUUAAUUUUUUUUUGUUAUUAAAAUUUAUUUAAUAAAAUUAAUUUUAAAUUAAGUUUUUUUUGUAUUGUAUAUAGAUCAAAUAAUUUAUAUAAUAGUUAAUUAGUAUUGUAAAAGAAUAUUGAAAUAUAUGAAAAAAUUUUAAAUUAAAAGUAAAUUUUAUAUAUUGUACCUUGUGUAUCAGGGUUUAUUAAUUAAAAGUUAAAAAUUUAAUUUUUCUCGAAUUUAAGAGGGUUAAUUUAUUAUUUAAUUUUUUGUUUCAUAAAAAUUUAAAAUAGUAAGUUAGAAAUGAAAUGUUAUUCGUUCUUUAAUAUAUCUAGUUUUUUAAGAAAUAAAUUAAAUUUAGAUUAUUAAUAAAUAAUUAUUUAUUUAAAUAAUAAAUUAUUGUUAAUAAUUAAUAUUUUAAGGGAUAAGCUUUAAAGUAAGUUUUAUAAUGAUUUUUUAAUUUAAAAAUUAUAGGUUUAGAAAUAGUCAUUAAUUAUAAAAAUGUUAUAAUUUAUUUUAAAUUAAAAAUAAUUUUUAUUGAUUUAAAUUUUUAUUAAAAUAAUUUUUAAAACUAUAUAAAAAUUAAAAUAAUGAUAAAAUUAGUAUAUUUAAUUGUUUAAAAUAAAUAAAUUAAAAGGUUAAAUUAAGGAAUUUGGCAAAUAAAUACUCGCCUGUUUAACAAAAACAUGUCUUUUUGAAUAUAAUUUAAAGUCUAAUCUGCCCACUGAAAAAUUUUAAAGGGCCGCGGUAUU